rnacentral:tRNA from 1 species
UCCCGAUUAGCUCAGUCGGUAGAGCGUCAGACUUUUAAUACAAAGUCUUCGAGCAGUUGCUCGGAACAGUUUAAUCUGAAUGUCAGGGGUUCGAGCCCCCUAUUGGGAG